AAAGAGGCAACUAGGAUCGUCGGCGGCACCAACAAGGACAUUGGUGCAGACCAGCAGAUUAAGCGAGGCAUGCAUAACUGAGUAAGUUCACUUAGCCGUGCGUAAGAGAAGUGUUGUGAGUGAAACGAAGCUGGCGUGUCUUAGCACAACACUCUCCCAGUCGGAGUGCGCUGAACCAGCACUCAGCAGGUGUAGCUUGCGAAAGCGACACAUCAUAUAAGUUAUACUUUAAGUAAAGUGUAAAAUUUA